rnacentral:tRNA from 1 species
GCUGCGGUGUCCGAGUGGUUAAGGAGAUGGACUCGAAAUCCAUUGGGCUUUGCCCGCACAGGUUCGAAUCCUGUCCGCAGCG